AGAGCCGCGCUGCUCGGCUCCCAGGCCGGGGACACGGCCCGGUGUUAAGCGGAGGGUGCCCGACCGCGGGAAUUCCUAAGGCCACGCGCACCUCCAAGGCCACCGCCGCACACAGCUUCGGAGUGCACAGUGCACACGCCCAGGCACAGGCAGCCGGCCCGAGAAAUUGUGAAUGUCUUGGCUUUGAGUUUAUCUGCGUAUCCUGGCGAAGUUUGGAUGCAGAGAACUUGGAGCUGUUGUUUUCUACCAGACACUAGGAUCCCUGAGAGAGCCUCAUGCCUGACUGGACACUGAAAAAGAGGUGAAGAGAUGAGGCGAUAGAACAAAAGAACAGAAAGAUAAUGAAGCUGAGACUAACAUAAUUAUGUAUGCAGCCACAAAUGGAGCACAAAGCAAUUACUGCUUGUGGGAAUUUGAGAGAUGCUCUUUGAAGAGGUGUGAGGGAAUCAGUAAUAC
rnacentral:lncRNA from 1 species